GAUGAAGAACGCAGCGAAAUGCGAUACUUGGUGUGAAUUGCAGAAUCCCGUGAACCAUCGAGUCUUUGAACGCAAGUUGCGCCCGAAGCCAUUAGGCCGAGGGCACGCCUGCCUGGGCGUCACACGUCGUUGCCCCCCCAUCUACUCCUUCGGGAUUGCGGGGGGCGGAUGAUGGCCUCUCGUGCGCCUCGUCGCGCGGUUGGCCUAAAUGCCAAGUCCUCGGCGACGCACGCCACGACAAUCGGUGGUUGCGAAACCUCGGUUGCCUGUCGUGUGCGGUCGUCGCGCAUCGAGGGCUCGAAAAAAUUGCUGGGCUUCGGCUCGACUUUCAACGCGACCCCAUGUCAGGCGGGGUUACCCGCUGAAUUUAAGCAUAUCAAUAAGCGGAGGA
rnacentral:misc_RNA from 1 species